AACGUAGGUUCCGAGCGUUAUCCGGAUUUACUGGGCGUAAAGCGCGUUCAGGCGGUUUGGCAAGUCGGGCAUGAAAUCUCUCGGCUCAACCGGGAGAGGUUGUCCGAUACUUCCAGACUUGAGGGCAGUAGAGGGUGGUGGAAUUCCGGGUGUAGUGGUGAAAUGCGUAGAUAUCCGGAGGAACACCAGUAGCGAAGGCGGCACUCUGGGCCGGAACUGACGCUGAGGAGCGAAAGCGUGGGGAGCAAACAGG
rnacentral:rRNA from 1 species